UACGUAGGGGGCAAGCGUUGUCCGGAUUUAUUGGGCGUAAAGAGCGUGUAGGCGGCUAUGCAGGUCCGUUGUGAAAACUCGAGGCUCAACCUCGAGACGCCGAUGGAAACCGUAUGGCUAGAGUCCGGAAGAGGAGAGCGGAAUUCCUGGUGUAGCGGUGAAAUGCGCAGAUAUCAGGAAGAACACCAAUGGCGAAGGCAGCUCUCUGGGACGGUACUGACGCUGAGACGCGAAAGCGUGGGGAGCAAACAGG
rnacentral:rRNA from 1 species